AACGAACGCUGGCGGCAUGCCUAACACAUGCAAGUCGAACGAGACCUUCGGGUCUAGUGGCGCACGGGUGCGUAACGCGUGGGAACCUGCCCUUAGGUUCGGAAUAACUCCCCGAAAGGGGUGCUAAUACCGGAUAAUGUCUUCGGACCAAAGAUUUAUCGCCUUUGGAUGGGCCCGCGUUGGAUUAGCUAGUUGGUAGGGUAAAAGCCUACCAAGGCGACGAUCCAUAGCUGGUCUGAGAGGAUGAUCAGCCACACUAGGACUGAGACGCGGCCCAGACUCCUACGGGAGGCAGCAGUGGGGAAUAUUGGACAAUGGGCGAAAGCCUGAUCCAGCAAUGCCGCGUGAGUGAUGAAGGCCUUAGGGUUGUAAAGCUCUUUUACCCGGGAUGAUAAUGACAGUACCGGGAGAAUAAGCCCCGGCUAACUCCGUG
rnacentral:rRNA from 1 species